ensembl:rRNA 5S_rRNA 5S ribosomal RNA
GCUUACGGCCAUACUAGCUGAAGAACGCCCGAUCUUGUCUGAUCUCGGAAGCUAAGAAGGCUUGGGCCUGGUUAGUACUUGGAUGGGAGACUCCCUUGUGAAUCCCAGGUGCUGUAAGCU